rnacentral:rRNA from 1 species
AUUGAACGCUGGCGGCAGGCCUAACACAUGCAAGUCGAGCGGAUGAAGGGAGCUUGCUCCUGGAUUCAGCGGCGGACGGGUGAGUAAUGCCUAGGAAUCUGCCUGGUAGUGGGGGAUAACGUCCGGAAACGGGCGCUAAUACCGCGUACGCCCUGAGGGAGAAAGUGGGGGAUCUUCGGACCUCACGCUAUCAGAUGAGCCUAGGUCGGAUUAGCUAGUUGGUGGGGUAAAGGCCUACCAAGGCGACGAUCCGUAACUGGUCUAAGAGGAUGAUCAGUCACACUGGAACUGAGACACGGUCCAGACUCCUACGGGAGGCAGCAGUGGGAAAUAUUGGACAAUGGGCGAAAGCCUGAUCCAGCCAUGCCGCGUGUGUGAAGAAGGUCUUCGGAUUGUAAAGCACUUUAAGUUGGGAGGAAGGGCAGUAAGUUAAUACCUUGCUGUUUUGACGUUACCAACAGAAUAAGCACCGGCUAACUUCGUG